GUGGAGGUGUCUAAAGACAGAUGAGUGGUCCUUUUUUUUUUUUUUUUUUUUUUUGCUGUUUUCUUUCUAGUGAGUCUAGGCUCUGGCUCCAUCAGAUCAGAGCCUGAGCUGCACUCCAAGCCCCACCGGGCCGCUGCAAUGCCAGUGGGUUGUGCUCCUGCCUUGACACUGUUCUUGCCUACACGCCUUGUCUCUGGGGUGAACACUGAGUCAGCAGGUUUUGGGGAGCUUUCCAUCCCUUCCAACACAGAGAACUGAAGCAGGAGGUUAAGACUGCCAUGAGAGGCUUAGUUGGGAUGUAAGGAAAGGCCUAGUGAACUUGGAAGAUGGUUAGAUGCCAACGAGAAGACACUCAGGCUGAGAGAGCUUUCCCAAAGUCCACACAGCAAACAGCAGCGACUCUGACCUGGAUGGCCAUGUCUGAACACCUUCCUCUGCCCCUGGAGAAAAUGACUGACUACCGAGGAAGCGCAGGCCCAUCCAACAGAAUCAAGGCCAGAGUGGGUCUCCUGCCGCCUCCCCUCCCACGGUCUGUGCAGAAACAAGGAGUGGCAUGGCCAUGAACCCAGGGAGGUUGUCCAUGAUUGUAUUCCGUUUCGGUGCCCUGUACGUGUUCAAUCAACAUUUGGUGAAUAAAUAAAAGACCCCAUUUCCCA
ensembl:lncRNA